GAUGAAGAACGUAGCGAAAUGCGAUACUUGGUGUGAAUUGCAGAAUCCCGUGAACCAUCGAGUCUUUGAACGCAAGUUGCGCCCGAAGCCAUUAGGCCGAGGGCACGCCUGCCUGGGCGUCACACGUCGUUGCCCCCCCAUCUACUCCUUCGGGAUUGCGGGGGGCGGAUGAUGGCCUCCCGUGCGCCUUGUCGCGCGGUUGGCAUAAAUGCCAAGUCCUCGGCGACGCACGCCACGACAAUCGGUGGUUGCGAAACCUCGGUUGCCCGUCGUGUGCGGUCGUCGCGCAUCGAGGGCUCGAAAAAAUUGUCGGGCUCCGGCUCGGCUUUCAACGCGACCCAAGGUCAGGCGGGGUUACCCGCUGAAUUUAAGCAUAUCAAUAAGCGGAGGA
rnacentral:misc_RNA from 1 species